UUACAGGCCUGAGCCACUGUGCCCGGCCAACUAGUGACUCAAACUGUGCACUGAGAAGCCCGGGACCUCUGUGGGUGAUCGUGGAAGUGAGAGAGGAGAGUCUAAGGAGGUUCUGCUCAUGGCAGAUGACCAGAAUGCAAUAAACCAAGCCAAACCAAGCCCUGCCAAUUUCCUGUCUGACCAAAGCAAGUCAUGUGGCUAAGCCCAACAUCAGUGGGGCAGGGAAGUACACACCACCCACGUGGAACGGAGAGGGAAAUGAACACUGGCUGAACAACAGUCCACACUGUCACAGGGCACAGAGCCUGCCAUGUUACUACUUGCAAGUGAAGGAAUGGACGAAGGAAGGAAAGAACGAAUGAAUGAAGGAUGGAAGGCAACUGCUUAACUACUGCUCCACCAACGGAACUCAUUCCCUUCCCAGGAUCAUAUCUUUAAACAGCUCCUGACCCCAGCUUCCUGGGGGAAGGGAGGAAGAGCAGAUCAGAAUAGGCAUCUGGAGACUCAAGUUCUAAUCGUGAGCCUGAGGGUGCUCAAGUGACUGCCCCUCUUUGGGCUUCACUUUCACAUCUGAAAUAUGAAGGAUUUGGUUCAAUGAUCUAAGG
rnacentral:lncRNA from 1 species